rnacentral:rRNA from 1 species
CCUUGGGGGUUGGCCUACUUAGGUCUUCUCUUAAGGUUCCUCACAGUUAUGUGCAAUGUUGUUGUCACCUUGGUUGACUCUGCCUAAAGCUUUUGACUUGAAAAAAGACUUGAGCAAUGGGCUGGCCUUAGGGGCCCCUAGUAUGUUUAUCAUACUAACCCCAAAGGUUUUUUCUACUAUGUCUAUGAAUUGAUGUAUGAAAAAAAAGUUAUUUGUUAACUUGAAGGCUUCUGUAAAAAGAGUCUUUAAAAACAACUCUUGGCAAUGGAUCUCUUGGUUCUCGCAUCGAUGAAGAGCGUAGCAAAGUGCGAUAAUUAUUGCGACUUGCAUUCAUAGUGAAUCAUCGAGUUCUUGAACGCAUCUUGCGCCUAGUAGUCAAUCUACUAGGCACAGUUGUUUCAGUAUCUGCAUCCACCAAUCAACUUAACCUUUUGUGUUGAGUUGGAACUGGGCUUCUAGUUGAUGGCAUUUAGUUGCUGUCAUGGCCUUAAAUCAAUGUCCUAGGUGUUAGAACAUCUAACACCGGAUGGAAACUUUAGAGCGCUUUAAGAGCAGCUUGGUUAGUGAGUUCAAUAAUUCCAAGCAUUAAGUCUUUUAAUGAACUAGCUUUUCUAUCUAUGGGACACUACUUGGAGAAAUCCAAGUAACCUUUAAACUCACAUUUAGAUCUGAAAUCAACUGAGACCACCCGCUGAACUUAAGCAUAUCAAUAAGCGGAG